rnacentral:rRNA from 1 species
CCCAGACUCCUACGGGAGGCAGCAGUUAGGAAUAUUCGUCAAUGGGGGAAACCCUGAACGAGCAAUGCCGCGUGAAGGAAGACGGUCCUAUGGAUUGUAAACUUCUGUUGUUAAGGAAGAACGACCCAAGUAGGAAAUGACUUGGGAGUGACGGUACUUAUCAAGAAAGCUCCGGCUAACUACGUGCCAGCAGCCGCGGUAAUACGUAGGGAGCGAGCGUUAAUCGGAAUUACUGGGCGUAAAGCGCUCGUAGGCGGUAUGUCAAGUCAAGGGUGAAAUCCCCGCGCUCAACGUGGGAACUGCCUUUGAAACUGGCAAACUGGAGUGUGUGAGAGGAUAGUGGAAUUCCAGGUGUAGGAGUGAAAUCCGUAGAUAUCUGGAGGAACAUCAGUGGCGAAGGCGACUAUCUGGCACAUAACUGACGCUGAGGAGCGAAAGCGUGGGUAGCAAACAGGAUUAGAUACCCGCGUAA